ACCCUGCAAUCAAAUAGAUUGUCCCAAGGGCGCCACAUUCUAGGAGCCCAAGUUAUGCUACUGAAAAUUCGUUCCUCUAGCAGUUCCGGUUUGAGCAUUCCGUUCCCUUUUUCAAACUCCACUUCUUUUCAUAUAGCAUACCUAAUCAAAGAGAGAACAAUAUCCAUUUCAAAACAUUUCUAACAGAUUCCUUAAUUUGGACUGACGAAGUAA
rnacentral:rRNA from 1 species